GCCGGGGUGGCGAAAUUGGUAGACGCAUCAGACUCAAAAUCUGACGGGGGCGACCCCAUGCCGGUUCGACUCCGGCCCUCGGUA
rnacentral:tRNA from 1 species